ACAGAGAUGAGGAGCCAUUUCUACCAGAGCCAAUAUUCAGGUUGUUUCCCCAUCUUGCUCCCACAGAUGACAUUGAGACAUGUCCUGAAAUGGUGAGGAGAGGAGAGCCACUGACUUCAGAGCAAUGGAGAACGAAGAUACCUUUGUGUUCACCCUCAAAUACAUCUGUGCUACAGUAAUGUGCUUCUGAAUCAGUGUCGGGGAAGUUGCUUACAGUCAUGCUAUUUUUACUGCAGUGAAAGCAAAGGAAGGCAUGCAAGGCUGUGAGCACAGAUGCAGAAGGAGAUUAAGAGCGGACAAGGACUGCCAGGUUCCCCAUAGCAUCGAUGCACUGCAGCUCUGGGCAGUGCUGCUCCUCAGUCCUGGGAAUCCGGAGCCUGUGCCAGGGAACAGGGGAAGUGGCUGUGCAGCCCUGUUCUUUGGGUGUCUUGGUUUUAAAUGCUAUUUCUCCUCUUGCCUGGACAAGAGGAGUUCCAAUGGGCUGCAGGUGAGGGCCUCAACCCAAACCACUCUGCCUUAUUUCUCAAACAUUGGAAGCACCUAUCUGUUAUUUUAAGAAGUGCCAUGUUGUAUUGAAGCAUAGGAGAGAAUUGCGAAGGUUGAAAAAAACCCACAGGCAUGUGGAUGUCCUUGUGCCACUGCUAGCCUCUGCGUGCAGAAAGACCUCUACUGUUUGGCUGCAGUGCUGUUGGAAACCACAAGCUCUUUGUUAACCGCUAAAGGAGAUGUUCUUCUGGCUAAACUUACACCAAAUCACAAGUUGCCCAAAAGUAGGCUAUUGAUUCAAAGGCUUAUCAUUAACACGACAUUCACUCAUUCCAAUGCCUCACCUCCAGCAUCACAGUGAGCGCCAGUAAAAUUAAAUUAGUGCUGUGCUAGUGGGCAGCUGGGAGAGUGCUCUCAGUGCACAGAGAAACAAAGGCAGGAGGAGGAUGUGGCCCCAGCGCUGCCUGCAGCAUGCACAGAGCCUUUGUGCUCAGGUGCUGUGUGCAGGGCGGGCUGUGGGCCUUUCCCUUCCCAGCUGCACAGCGUUCUGCUCCGGGGGCUUGGGGCACAUCUCACACAAUGAGCCACGUAGGAGGAAGCACUUACCAUGUAAUUCAGGUAGGGAAAGCAGCACAUGUGAGUGGCAUAGAACCUACCGGCCCUUGUAGAUUAUGUGAUUUAUACAUUCACUCGAACAGCAAUGAAUGAACAGUCUUACAGAAGGCAAUAUGCUAUUGUGCAGUUACUUCUAUGCCUUGUCUUUUUAAUGAAAGGGAUUAUAUAUUCAAAGUUAAUUAACUCGUUUCUCAAAAUCAUUUACACAUCUGCUCUGUUUCCAGUAAAACUCCAGUUUCACAUUGCUAACAUCAGAAAUAUAUGAAGAGAAAAAAAAAAACAGAAGACAACCAACCAACCCAACCUUCUGCAUUAGCUACUCUGUUUCAUUUGCUGUGACUUCAGUUGUGGAAUUAUUAAUACUAAUGAAUUUCACAGGCUGCACUUCGGCCAAUGAAUUUUGCACCGGUCCACGCUUUGGAAGGGCAGUCACUUAAGUACUAGCCUGGAACUGG
ensembl:lncRNA